AUACGGAGUGUGCAAGCGUUAUCCGGAAUCACUGGGUUUAAAGGAUGCGUAGGCGGCUAAAUAAGUCAGAGGUGAAAUCUUCCUGCUUAACGGGAAAAUUGCCUUUGAAACUGUAUAGCUUGAAUUAAGUUGAGGUUAGCGGAAUGUGACAUGUAGCGGUGAAAUGCAUAGAUAUGUCAUAGAACACCAAAUGCGAAGGCAGCUGGCUAGGCUUAUAUUGUCGCUGAGGCACGAAAGCGUGGGGAGCGAACAGGAUUAGAUACACUAGUAGUCC
rnacentral:rRNA from 1 species